rnacentral:ncRNA from 1 species
GACAGCUUCAUAAUACCCCUUCAUAUAUGUCCGAUAAUAUGGGUCGGAUGUUUCUACCGGAUCACCAUAAAUGGUCUGACUAUGGAGGCGGUCUUUUUAAUU